rnacentral:rRNA from 1 species
GACGAACGCUGGCGGCGUGCCUAAUACAUGCCAGUUGAGCGCUGAAGGUUGGUACUUGUACCAACUGGAUGAGCAGCGAACGGGUGAGUAACGCGUGGGGAAUCUGCCUUUGAGCGGGGGACAACAUUUGGAAACGAAUGCUAAUACCGCAUAAAAACUUUAAACACAAGUUUUAAGUUUGAAAGAUGCAAUUGCAUCACUCAAAGAUGAUCCCGCGUUGUAUUGGCUAGUUGGUGAGGUAAAGGCUCACCAAGGCGAUGAUACAUAGCCGACCUGAGAGGGUGAUCGGCCACAUUGGGACUGAGACACGGCCCAAACUCCUACGGGAGGCAGCAGUAGGGAAUCUUCGGCAAUGGACGAAAGUCUGACCGAGCAACGCCGCGUGAGUGAAGAAGGUUUUCGGAUCGUAAAACUCUGUUGGUAGAGAAGAACGUUGGUGAGAGUGGAAAGCUCAUCAAGUGACGGUAACUACCCAGAAAGGGACGGCUAACUACGUG